rnacentral:rRNA from 1 species
CGGGAGACACACGGCGGGUGCUAACGUCCGUCGUGAAGAGGGAAACAACCCAGACCGCCAGCUAAGGUCCCAAAGUCAUGGUUAAGUGGGAAACGAUGUGGGAAGGCCCAGACAGCCAGGAUGUUGGCUUAGAAGCAGCCAUCAUUUAAAGAAAGCGUAAUAGCUCACUGGUCGAGUCGGCCUGCGCGGAAGAUGUAACGGGGCUAAACCAUGCACCGAAGCUGCGGCAGCGACGCUGAUGCGUUGUUGGGUAGGGGAGCGUUCUGUAAGCCUGCGAAGGUGGCCUGUGAGGGUUGCUGGAGGUAUCAGAAGUGCGAAUGCUGACAUAAGUAACGAUAAAGCGGGUGAAAAGCCCGCUCGCCGGAAGACCAAGGGUUCCUGUCCAACGUUAAUCGGGGCAGGGUGAGUCGACCCCUAAGGCGAGGCCGAAAGGCGUAGUCGAUGGGAAACGGGUUAAUAUUCCCGUACUUGGUGUUACUGCGAAGGGGGGACGGAGAAGGCUAUGUUGGCCGGGCGACGGUU